GAUGAACGCUAGCGGCAGGCUUAACACAUGCAAGUCGAGGGGUAUUUGGACUUCGGUUCAGAGAGACCGGCAAACGGGUGCGGAACACGUACACAACCUACCUUUAUCAGGGGGAUAGCCCAUAGAAAUGUGGAUUAAUACCCCAUAGUAUUAUGUGAUGGCAUCAUUAUAUAAUUAAAGAAUUUCGGAUAGAGAUGGGUGUGCGUAAGAUUAGCUAGUUGGUAGGGUAACGGCCUACCAAGGCAACGAUCUUUAGCUGAUGUGAGAGCAUGAUCAGCCACACGGGCACUGAGACACGGGCCCGACUCCUACGGGAGGCAGCAGUGAGGAAUAUUGGUCAAUGGACGGAAGUCUGAACCAGCCAUGCCGCGUGAAGGAUGAAGGCGUUCUGCGUUGUAAACUUCUUUUAUCUGGGAAGAAACCACAGAUUUCUAUUUGUGUUGACGGUACCAGAAGAAUAAGCACCGGCUAACUCCGUGCCAGCAGCCG
rnacentral:rRNA from 1 species